GGGCUUAUAGUUCAAUGGUAGAACGCUGGUCUCCAAAACCAGUAAUCCAGGUUCGAGUCCUGGUGGGCCCGCCC
rnacentral:tRNA from 1 species